rnacentral:misc_RNA from 1 species
ACCAGUUGCGCGCGCUCAUCCCUGGACAGAGAACUGCCGACGAUCGGGCCACGGCCCGGAAAACCAGGUACAGAUUGGCCGUAAGCGCCCUCGAUCGCCAUGUCAUCGAGGCGCGAAAGCACCUCUUCGCGCGCGGAUUUCUGCCCGCACCACCAUGUCGCGAUGUGCGGCAUCUUCAGGUCUUCGCCGAAGAAACGCUCGCUCAAGCUUGGCAGGAAGCCGAGCAGCGUCCGCGCUUCC